GAUUCUCAGGAUGAACGCUAGCUACAGGCUUAACACAUGCAAGUCGAGGGGCAGCAUGGUCUUAGCUUGCUAAGGCCGAUGGCGACCGGCGCACGGGUGAGUAACACGUAUCCAACCUGCCGUCUACUCUUGGACAGCCUUCUGAAAGGAAGAUUAAUACAAGAUGGCAUCAUGAGUCCGCAUGUUCACAUGAUUAAAGGUAUUCCGGUAGACGAUGGGGAUGCGUUCCAUUAGAUAGUAGGCGGGGUAACGGCCCACCUAGUCUUCGAUGGAUAGGGGUUCUGAGAGGAAGGUCCCCCACAUUGGAACUGAGACACGGUCCAAACUCCUACGGGAGGCAGCAGUGAGGAAUAUUGGUCAAUGGGCGAGAGCCUGAACCAGCCAAGUAGCGUGAGGAUGACUGCCCUAUGGGUUGUAAACUUCAAGCUAUAAAGGAAUAAAGUCGGGUAUGGAUACCCGUUUGCAUGUACUUUAUGAAUAAGGAUCGGCUAACUCCGUGCCAGCAGCCGCGGUAAUACGGAGGAUCCGAGCGUUAUCCGGAUUUAUUGGGUUUAAAGGGAGCGUAGAUGGAUGUUUAAGUCAGUUGUGAAAGUUUGCGGCUCAACCGUAAAAUUGCAGUUGAUACUGGAUAUCUUGAGUGCAGUUGAGGCAGGCGGAAUUCGUGGUGUAGCGGUGAAAUGCUUAGAUAUCACGAAGAACUCCGAUUGCGAAGGCAGCCUGCUAAGCUGCAACUGACAUUGAGGCUCGAAAGUGUGGGUAUCAAACAGGAUUAGAUACCCUGGUAGUCCACACGGUAAACGAUGAAUACUCGCUGUUUGCGAUAUACGGCAAGCGGCCAAGCGAAAGCGUUAAGUAUUCCACCUGGGGAGUACGCCGGCAACGGUGAAACUCAAAGGAAUUGACGGGGGCCCGCACAAGCGGAGGAACAUGUGGUUUAAUUCGAUGAUACGCGAGGAACCUUACCCGGGCUUCAAUUGCAGAUGAAUUACGGUGAAAGCCGUAAGCCGCAAGGCAUCUGUGAAGGUGCUGCAUGGUUGUCGUCAGCUCGUGCCGUGAGGUGUCGGCUUAAGUGCCAUAACGAGCGCAACCCUUGUUGUCAGUUACUAACAGGUUAUGCUGAGGACUCUGACAAGACUGCCAUCGUAAGAUGUGAGGAAGGUGGGGAUGACGUCAAAUCAGCACGGCCCUUACGUCCGGGGCUACACACGUGUUACAAUGGGCCACCGGGUACAGAGGGCCGCUACCACGCGAGUGGAUGCCAAUCCCCAAAACCUCUCUCAGUUCGGACUGGAGUCUGCAACCCGACUCCACGAAGCUGGAUUCGCUAGUAAUCGCGCAUCAGCCACGGCGCGGUGAAUACGUUCCCGGGCCUUGUACACACCGCCCGUCAAGCCAUGGGAGCCGGGGGUACCUGAAGUGCGUAACCGCGAGGAGCGCCCUAGGGUAAGCAUUGC
rnacentral:rRNA from 1 species